GUGGCGCACGGGUGAGUAACACGUGGGUAACCUGCCCGGGAGUUCGGGAUAACAGUGCGAAAGUGCUGCUAAUACCGGAUACCUUCACGGAGCUGCAUAGUUUUGUGAAGAAAGUUUUUCGCUUCCGGAUGGGCCCGCGUCCCAUUAGCUAGUUGGUGAGGUAACGGCUCACCAAGGCGACGAUGGGUAGCUGGUCUGAGAGGACGAUCAGCCACACUGGAACUGAGACACGGUCCAGACUCCUACGGGAGGCAGCAGUGGGGAAUCUUGCGCAAUGGGCGGAAGCCUGACGCAGCAACGCCGCGUGAAUGAUGAAGGCCUUCGGGUUGUAAAAUUCUGUCAGGGGGGACGAUAAUGACGGUACCCCGGAGGAAGCCCCGGCUAACUACGUGCCAGCAGCCGCGGUAAUACGUAGGGGGCGAGCGUUGUCCGGAAUUAUUGGGCGUAAAGGGCGUGUAGGCGGCCGAUCAAGUCUGGUGUGAAAAUCCGGGGCUCAACCCCGGAAGUGCAUUGGAAACUGGUUGGCUUGAGUGCAGGAGAGGAAAGUGGAAUUCCCAGUGUAGCGGUGAAAUGCGUAGAUAUUGGGAGGAACACCAGUGGCGAAGGCGACUUUCUGGACUGCAACUGACGCCGAGGCGCGAAAGCUAGGGGAGCAAACAGGAUUAGAUACCCUGGUAGUCCUAGCCGUAAACGAUGGGUACUAGGUGUAGGGGGUUUAGACGCCCUCUGUGCCGCAGUUAACGCACUAAGUACCCCGCCUGGGGAGUACGGCCGCAAGGCUG
rnacentral:rRNA from 1 species